rnacentral:lncRNA from 1 species
GAAAAUCUUCCAUUUUCUCCAUGGCAAGGUCCAACAGACCCUCUGCUGCUAAACUCACACAUCCUAUCAACAUUGAUGGUAGGGAAUAUGUUCCUGAGCCUCCGUUGGCAGAAGAGAAGGCAAAAAUCUGGCGUUCUCAGGUAUUAAUUCCUCUUUCUUUGGCUGAUGAACCUUUAGCGUUCUUAGGUCCUCUCCCUGAAAACCGACACCCAGAGAUUACC